rnacentral:rRNA from 1 species
UCUUAGUGGCGGACGGGUGAGUAACGCGUGGGUAACCUGCCUUAUACAGGGGGAUAACACUUAGAAAUAGGUGCUAAUACCGCAUAAGCGCACGGGGCUGCAUGGCCCAGUGUAGAAAACUCCGGUGGUAUAAGAUGGACCCGCGUCUGAUUAGCUUGUUGGCGGGGUAACGGCCCACCAAGGCGACGAUCAGUAGCCGGCCUGAGAGGGUGGACGGCCACAUUGGGACUGAGACACGGCCCAAACUCCUACGGGAGGCAGCAG